ensembl:snRNA U6 U6 spliceosomal RNA
GUGCUUGCAUUGGCAGCACAUAUACUAAAAUUGGAAAGGUACAGAGAUUAUUAGCAUGGUCCUUGUGCAAAGAUGAUAUACAAAUCAUGAAGCAUUCUAUAUUUUA